CUGCCGUAGUCUUCCCUCACCAUUCACCAACGACGGCAACGAGUCUGGAGUCAGUGGAGUACUCGCCGGAGACCAGUGACCAAGACGACCACUCUCUGUCUCUCCCUCCGCAGUCCGGCAGAUUCGUCUGUCUCUCUCGACCGCGGUCUGACUCUCUCCCUCUGUCGUCAGUCAUCGUCGUCUCUCAUCGGCCACCACCCUGGUCUCUCGUCUCUCACCGCCGGCUCACUCUCUCCAUCCGUCGUCUGAAGUAUGACAGAUACCGGAUAUGCUUAUGCUUGUUUCACAUGCCUUGAUGGUCUCCAUCGUAUCAAAAUUCCUAUCACUCCAGGUUGCAAACAUGAAUUAACCGUUGAGCAUGUAUGUCCCCCUCAACUUCCAUCAUAUCCGGCACUCCUCAGUCAUAAUCAUGUUGUAUAUGUGGUUGGUGGCACAAAGGGAGCUAGCUUUGAAUUUAGUCGCGGGAUGUAUAUUUUCGAUCCCAGUAGGUUUCAAAAAUUAUCUAGGGAAAGUCACAAAUUAUCUAUGGAUAUGGGAAGUGAGUUCUGUCUCGACUACACCACACGGGAGGAUUUUGAAUCUAUGGUGGAACCACGGGUUAUUCGCGUAGCUGAGGAUAAGAUUUUCCUACUCUCAGUAAAUAAUCAUCAACAUUAUGAGCAUAGGGUCAAAGAGCAAUUGUGUUUUCAGUACUUUAACCCCAUUAGAGAUUACUUUGAAACCCUUCCAUCUCCCCCUCUCGCACAUGAUCAUGUACUUGGUUUUACUGUCACAUUAGGUCACUUUUUUUCUUAGCGGCCAUAUAUAUUUGUUUGUUAGUGACCAACGGAGUAAGUACCCUAAGAGUGUCUUUAGUUUCAACACCAAAUUCUCAAAAUGGGAGGAGAAGAUGUAUUUGUUGGAUAGAUUUGAUAAGAAACAAAUUCCUCUUCCUUUUAGUCACCAUGGUGACAUAGGACUUUCAAAUGAGUUUUCGGGAAAAACUCAUAUUCUGGUUGCUUUUUCUGGUACUGAGCUUUGUGCAUACCAAGUUAAAAUUCAUGACGGUGAUUUCGAACCCAUAUCUUACAGGGUUCUAAAGGAAAGUUGUUAUCCUGAAGGCAGGGAUAACUUUAUAAGGGAUGGAUAUAGAACUUAUCUGACACGGCUGGCUGAUUUGGGAGAUGGAAAAUUUUGUGCAGUGACUGGUUCUUAUAGUAUAAAUCUUUUAUUGUAUGUCUUCCAAAUUGAUUUUAAAGUUGAACAUGAUAUCCAAAACUCAACAAGUGGUGUUGGAGCCUCCUCAAGCCUCCUUUACUACAAGAAGUUGCAGCUUGGGGAUAAUAUCCAAUCUUUUUGUAUUGCCUCUGCCCCUCCAGAAGACAGCUCUGCCCCUCCUGAAGACCAAGACAUGUUGGGGAGCACAAGUAAAAGGGGGAGGAGUGAGGAUGAAGCCCUGUACAUGACUAAGACCCUCCGUUUCUUUUGAGGUGUGUUGAUGUGGGCAUGAUCAUGCUUGGUGCCUUGGACUGACCGUCUUUUUAAUUCUGCUUUAGUUGUCAAUGGCCUGUCAAGGGAAGCAAGGUUGAAACCAGAAGUUUUGUUGUUUUAACGAAUUGUGUUUAUGAACAUUUUCAUCACUUGUGACCUGCUCUUUUAUUGAAGCACGAAAUUGUAGUUAUAUGCCUUGGCACAGAGUAUUAACUAUCAACUGUUGUUUCGUUUCUAUUUUUUAUGACACAAAGCAUGUAACUGUAUUAUAUGGGAUGAGUCUGUUCUGGAGCUUAUGGAAUGCUAAAAAGUUAAUUUAGCUGUUUGUUAUGUAUAGAGAAAUGGUUACAAACUUGGCAUAUUUACUCUUUAACAGUAUAUUAUAUUGUACAUAUAUGUACUAAUUGCCCCAUCUAUAUGUGGAUGCAUUAUCUAUUCCUAUGAUAUUAAUUUACUAGUCUUUGGAAAUUUAGAUUUUAUUAAAACUAUGAAUUUCCCACUGAUAAUGGAGUCUGGAAGCAACAUGAGAAAGCCCCUGUUUUCCCUUUAGUACCUAAGGAGGACAAAAUGGAUGAAGAAGAGUUGGGGAAAAUGUUGAGAGAGCGCUACAAAGCUGGUUCUAGUUUUGCUAAAUUUGCAGAAGAUGGAUAUGAAAAGAAAUGAUCAAUUCAAGAGGACAUAUCUGUGCCCUCCUCCAAAGACCCUACCUACUAUGGAAAGUCAAAUGCAUGGUAUACGUUUUUCCGGUUGGUUGUGAAAGGCAUUCAGGUUUCUGCCUUAUGCAGAAAUAUGUGGACUUGGGAUUUCUGGGAGUGAAGCUCCAAAUAAUCUCCACUUUUGCUCUUGAUCAUGAGAAAGGCUUUGUUUAUAUUGAAGCAGAAGUGUUCUGUGCUGGUUGUAUUUUGUAAGUCAAGGAAGCAUUUGUGUGCAGGCUUUUAAAGGGCUCUGCAGUAUAUAUUCCAGUUCCAAGGAAUGAAAUUUCUCAACUGAUAUCUGCAAUGGAAUUUCUGAGGGCAUGUGGGCUCAUGUCAAGAAUGGCAAAUACAAGAGGCAUCUAUCGCAGGGUGGAGGAGUUGUUGCCAAGAAGCUAGGCUUAACUUCCGUUCAAUCACCAAGGCUAAUCCGCUCUACUGAGCUUGAUGAUUUUCUUCCUCUCAUCACAUAUCGCAAGGAUAGGAUCGUGAGACAAACGAGAUGGUUGAAGUUGUUGAUGGUAAGAUGCUGAAAGAAGGCUAUUUUAUAUAAGGUGUCUUUGUGCUUUUGGGGUGUAAUGCCUUCUGAAACUGAGCUCUUGAAGUUUGAGCCUUACAAGUAUAGGUAAUAUACUUGAAUUCUCCUUUCAUUGAAGCUAAGAUGUUAAUCUUUGCAGUACUGCAUUGGAUGGAAUUCGUGCACAGUACCCGUAACGCCUGAAGCCUUUGAAGGAGAUCCAUGCCCGAACGUCAUGAAGAAACUGUCUGCUGAGGCUGUAUGCAGUUAAUGGGGUACUCGUUUAGUUCCAUUCAUUCCACGAUUCGUUUAGUUCCAUUCUGUUUUCCAUUAUCAUUAAUUUUGACUUUGCCGGGAUGAAGUUGAACAGCUAUCUGACAAAAGACAACAAAAGUUGCAGAGAUGAUUGUGGAAAGGAUCAUGUUAAUGUAUAUGUGUAUAUGUCUGAAACUGCAAAACAAGAUUCUUUGAAAGAAUUGAUUGGGAAAACCCUCAAUGAGUAUAUGGAAGUGAUUUUAGAGUAUGUUAGGGUUUCAGAAUUUCAGUGUUGUAUGGUAGUGUAUUAAAUUGCAAGCAAUCAUUUCAUUGCUUUUAGGAUUCAGAAUUUAAACCUUCUACUACUACUAUGCAAUUACUACAUUAAAUUGCAAAUGCUUCAUUGUUUAUUGGAGCAAGGUGUAAAAGUACAAUGUUACAAUGACAUGAAAUCUCUCUUAUAUUGCA